UGCAGAUUUGGACUAACACAUCGACGAGCAAAUCAAAACUCUCUCCUCUCUCACAUCAUUAUUAGUGUGAAAAAAAAUUCUAUCUUGGCAUGAAAGCUUAUCAGGAGAUAGGAAGAUCCAAUGCAAUUAAUUGGCGUUAAAGGGCUUAAAUCCAUGAUUGAUAAGGAAGCUGAUAUUAUAUCACAUAUGUCAUGCACCAUGCUGAUCUCUCCAGUGAGGAAAACAUGGGUUUCUGGAAUGUCUGAAAAAUAUGGUUCCAGAUAUUAGGGAGUUAACUUUUGCUUGAAUAUAUCUGGCAUUACCAGGUCAUUAACCUUCAUCUGCUACUGCUCUUCCUGAAGGCCUUGGCAUGGAGCACGGCAAAGCCCAAAGGACAAACCAGUUUCUGGAAUCCUUGAAAUCAGAAGAUGAAAUGAUUGUUGAAGACAUGCAGCCAUCAAUGUUAGCCCAAUAUACAUCAACUGCUCAAAAUCUAACUGAUCCUGUCACUUUGACAGCUGAGAAGAAACUCAAUGUCACUCUAAAACGGGAUGCUUGGUGGAAUGAGUAACUUCGAUGGUCAAGGGAAAUUAUCACUUCAAAUUCUUAACCAAGAAGAUGGGUUCAUCCAAGUUCAGAAUGAAACUAGGGGAAUCCAUGCGUCAUUUUCAAGACACAUCCUAACAUGAACGAAGAAUUAUUCGCUAAUGAAAGCAUUUUAGGCUUGAGGGAUCCCAACAGACCUUUCCCCACUGGUCAAAACAGGGAUCCAGGUGUUGGACUUUGAAGUGGAGAAUGCAAAGAGUCGAUGAGUCGAUGGUGCCCCUGACACGUGGAUACAAAUCUAAAGCAAUAGCUUAUCUGAUCACUUUACACUUUCUGUUGUAUGUUUUAAUGCUAUGUUUAAUUCGUGCAUAUUGCAGUCGAUUGCUGGCCAUCUGAUUCUGGAAAUGAAACAUAUGUCAGCAUUGAGUAUGAAGCUUCAUCAAUGCUUGAUCUAUGAAACAUUGUGAUUUCAGUUCCUCUACCAGCCCUUCGAGAUGCAACAAGUGUUAGGCAGAUUGAUGGAGAACAGAACCUUGCAGCUUCUCGGACAGCACUUGAAGACAUCACAACAACCUCUGGAAUUUCUACUAAAUGAUGCUUCCCUUUCAAGCGCUGAGAAACACAGGCAGUCUGCAUCGCCCUUCACAAAGGACCUCUAAAGUAGACAUAAAAUUACAUCAGCAUUACUUUGGAUCUCUCCUUUAUGUACAGAUUUCAGCUUCUUUUUGCUUGCUUCAACUGCAAUAUGCCUUUUUGCUUUGAAACUCCUUUCAUGUUUAUAUACUAACAGAAACUCUUGCAUCAGUUUAUUUAUGGUUUUGUAUACACAAGUUCACCUUAUUAUAAACAUCUACUUUGUAUGAAACACCACUGAAGUUUUUGUAGAACAA